AAAAAAAAAAAAAAUCCAAAGCCUUGUGACCCUAAGUAAUAACUGCUGGCACUUAGGAGUAAUAUAUUCUCAUAAAGUGUUGAGCUCAGGAUUUUACAUGCUAUUUCUAUGUAUAGACAACAGAGACAGAAAGAUCAAGUUGCUAAGCCAGGGCUAUAUAUAGCAAAGAGGAACACUAGCAUUCCAAACAACAUAGUUUGAGUCUGAAGUUCAUGCCUUUAGCCACUAGCCUGCAGGAUUUCUCCAUGUGAAUAAACUCAGUGGAAUAUAGUCGGCUUUCUGGAUGGGUUUAGACAUCUUGUACUUGUAGCUCCAGGCAGUAAUGAGAUGUUCUGCUCACUACUGUCUCUUCUCAAGCUCUGUCGAAGUGCACAAAGAUUCCAUAUGGGGAGGAUUCGGAGUCGGCUGUGGAGAGAUGUGUUGCUGCGGAGGAGGAGGAGAAGGACAUCCGAAGAGUCCACUGAUUUUUUUUCUCUACUGGCAUAUGUGCCUGAUGCUGGGCUUAGCUCUGAUCUUGAGGGCCAGUAACGAGUAGAAGAGAUGCACAAAGGAAGAGAAGGAAAGAAAGGUAAUGAAGCUGCAUGGAGUAUCUGGCAAGCCACGACAGAAGAGUUUUCAAAUCAACUGCUGAGAUUCUGGAAGAGGUCCGUGCUACCUGUAGAAGAGAAGACCUUUCAAAAUGCAUGUGUUGGAAUGCUCCUGGUCAUGGAGAGCAGAUGUACACUUGCCUAUCUGUCAUCGCCAUGAGAAGGACAGGCUUGAGUCAUACUUCAGAAGAAGAAAGCUGAGAGAUGUGUGGAAUGCCGCUGGGCCUCCUAAGGCUUCCUUGUCUCCAGCCAAACCUAUCCCACAGUGAAGCCCCACUCUGAACACCGGGUAUAAAAGUGAGCCCCGCGUCAAUGGACUUUACAUACAUCCAUCUCACCAACUCACAAGUGUGGGAACUGCAGUAGUUAAGGAUUGAUCAUAAAGCCACUGAUGUUGAGUGAGGUUGCAACCCAGUAGGUAACUGAUUCAUUAAUCUUUUAAGGGGCUGACCUAGUGGAACAAGCUGUGGGACAAUGGGACAUUGAAGAAUUGCUGGGUGGGGCAGGGCAGGACCUGCAGGAAGGCAGGCAUGCAUCUCCCAUACCUACAUACUUCCCAGUAUCCCAUGAAGGUAUUUCUGACUUGAUUUAGAAAGGAACGGCUUUUGAGGCAUGAGUCUUUUUUUUUUUCUCCCACUGGAAGGAACGUUCUCUAGGGUUGUAUGAGACUGAAAUUCGGUUUUACCUAACUAGUUCUGGUGGCCAUGAGAAUGCACCCCCAGAACCUACAGAGAAUGUGACACACCGGUCAGUCUACCGCCUUUGACAUCUACUAUUUUUCUGGAAUUGAGAUCAGGUCCUCUCUGGGCUGAUCUGCCUGAUAAAGGAGUGUGAAGGGGGGCAAGAGAAUUUAUUGGUCUGACCUCUGCAUUGUAGUUAAGAAAUUCUUUUCCUCAGUGCUGGGGGCUCAUGGACUCUGGGUAAUUUUUCCCAAGCUUCCCUACGUGGAAGGCAGUCUGGAGGAUGUUCUUUCCCAGUUUUCUCUCCCUGACUUCUUCAUUCUCUUGCAGAGUUGCAGUGGUAUCUGCCCCACCCAUCCCCUCCAGGCCCAGCCCUUUUAGGUCCUUCCUGUUCCUGUCUCUCUACACAAUACAAUUACUGCACAUUUAAUCCCAUUGUUGGAGCUACUGUUUGAGAACCCAUAAACAUUAGCCUGCAUGUCAGUUUCUUCCUGAAUAAACUAGAUCCUACUCUAUAGGAAUGUAGUACUAUUUAAAUGAACCACUGAAUUUAAAGCAUAAUUGUACAGUGACCAACAUCCAGUAAACACUGAAUUAACUAUU